CGAGAGCAGUGCCCAGGUCCCAGUGAAGGUUCUCAACUGUGACAGCAUCACCCAGGCCAAAGAUAAGCUGCUGGACACUGUGUACAAGGGCAUUCCGUACUCCCAGCGCCCCAAAGCUGAGGACAUGGACCUGGAGUGGCGCCAGGGCCGCAUGACUCGCAUCAUCCUCCAGGAUGAGGAUGUCACCACCAAGAUCGAGUGUGACUGGAAGAGGCUCAACUCACUGGCCCACUACCAGGUGACAGAUGGUUCCUUGGUGGCAUUGGUGCCCAAACAAGUGUCUGCCUAUAACAUGGCCAACUCCUUCACCUUCACCCGCUCCCUCAGCCGCUACGAGAGCUUGCUCCGCACGGCCAGCAGCCCUGAUAGCCUCCGCUCACGGGCACCCAUGAUUACGCCUGACCAGGAGACGGGCACCAAAUUGUGGCACCUGGUGAAAAACCACGACCAUGCCGACCAUCGCGAGGGGGACCGUGGCAGCAAGAUGGUCUCCGAGAUCUACCUGACACGGCUGCUGGCCACCAAGGGCACACUGCAGAAGUUCGUGGAUGACCUCUUUGAGACAGUGUUCAGCACAGCCCACCGGGGCUCGGCCCUGCCCCUGGCCAUCAAGUACAUGUUCGACUUCCUGGAUGAGCAGGCGGACCAGCGCCAGAUCAGCGACCCCGACGUGCGCCACACCUGGAAGAGCAACUGGUAUCGCCCCAUGCUGGGCUGCCAGCAGCCCGUCUGGAGAUUGGUGGGCGGAAGAUGCUGGUGCCUCUGCUGAGACCCAGGGCCUGGAGUAGCAUCC
rnacentral:sRNA from 1 species